GUAUGUAUAAAUGUCAUCAUAACAAAUACAACAAUAAUAUAAAUAGUAAAUAAACGACAUUAAUAUAAAAAAAUAAACAAUGACAAUGCAAGAAUAUCAAAUAAAUGAGCAAAAUAAAAAAAAAGUUCUUUUAAAAUAUAAAUGAAAACAUAAAUCAAUAAACAAAUGAAGGAAAUAAGCAAAAAAAAAAAUAUAAAGAAUAAGAGAUACA
rnacentral:lncRNA from 1 species